rnacentral:miRNA from 1 species
CAUCUUCCAGCACAGUGUUGGA